AAUUUUAAGAUGGCAUACAAAAAGUCAAGUUAAAAUGCUAACACACCGGCCUCCCUCUUUUCCUCAUGAAAACCCUAUCACGUGCCUUGUGUCUGCGGUCUUCAAUUGCAAGCAAAUGAAGCGUCUCGCCUUCCGGCGGUUUCCUUCGCCCCUCUACUCUAUAAUACCUAUACAGAUUUGGGGAAUUUUAGGAUCAUCGUCAGUCGUUUAGGGUUCGAGAAUCAAAACCCCUAAUGUUGAACAUCAAUGGAUUCAGACGUAGCGAUGGUUCCCGCCGGUGACUCAACGAGUCUUCCAGGUCCUUCAUCAUCUUCAAAGAAACCGAAGCGUCUUGAAAUCAAGAAGUGGAACGCCGUCGCUCUUUGGGCUUGGGAAAUCACAUCAUGGAUCUAUGUAUUGAAUGUCAAGCUAAUCAGGCUAGCGCUACCAGCGAAGAGUGUACUAUUGCUUGGGGUUGCUGGUGAAGAGCCAAAUCCUUGCUGGUGGAAGGGGCCUAGGGAAGUGUUUAAAUCAGUGUUUUGUAGUGUGUUAUUCACACAUUAAGUAUCUCUAAAGGUUGUUGCAGCCAUGGAAUCUUAAAUGUGCAAAGAAGGCAUGUUCUCAAUGAAUUUCUACAAUUGAAAGGCCCACAAUAAACGGUGAGAAAUUUAGCCAUCAAAGGCCCGUUGUUCCGGUAGAUUCAAGUGGCAUUCUGGUUCAUUUCGCCGAGAACAAGAGAAAACUGUAUGAUUUUCAGAUAUAUGUAGUAUGUUCUUUAUAUUUCAAUUGAUGUAUCUAAUCAUGAUAAUUUGUCCUUGAGAGUUCAUUUGUUUUUCUUAUAUGUUCAUGAUUUGAUCUUUA